rnacentral:rRNA from 1 species
GGAAUUUUCCGCAAUGGGCGAAAGCCUGACGGAGCAAUGCCGCGUGGAGGAUGAAGGCCUGUGGGUUGUAAUCUCCUUUUCUCAGAGAAGAAGUUCUGACGGUAUCUGAGGAAUAAGCAUCGGCUAACUCCGUGCCAGCAGCCGCGGUAAUACGGAGGAUGCAAGUGUUAUCCGGAAUCACUGGGCGUAAAGCGUCUGUAGGUGGUUUAAUAAGUCAACUGUUAAAUCUUGAGGCUCAACUUCAAAAUCGCAGUCGAAACUAUUAGACUAGAGUAUAGUAGAGGUAAAGGGAAUUUCCAGUGGAGCGGUGAAAUGCGUAGAUAUUGGAAAGAACACCGAUGGCGAAGGCAUUUUACUGGGCCAUAACUGACACUCAGAGACGAAAGCUAGGGUAGCAAAUGGGAUUAGAUACCCCAGUAGUC